AGGUUGACAUGACUUUACAACUACCAAAUUUGCAGGAAGUAUGGUUUCUUGUCUGUUGCUGAAUUGGAUUUCAAUUAUUUUUCUCUUCUAAUGAUGUCGCAAUCAGGCUAGACUGCAAUUGUUAGGUAUCAAAGGGACACGCCUUAAAGAACAGUGAUAACACUAAAUGAAUAGAAGCCUUACAUAACAAGCCUACAAUAACAGCUCAAAAUGGUCGUAUACGACGGAGCUGACUGCUAGGGAGCGAGAUCUCUACUUCCAGGAGCUGUUUGGAGUAGUAACUAAAGACCAAGGAGGACUCAGAUGUAAACAUGCUAGUCACCCUGGUGAACAAGGUAGUACAGGGCAGGUUCUUGACAUGGGAGACACAACGCAAUUAGACUUUAUUGGAACAACCUCAUCUACAACUACAAGAUGAUCCCAGCUCUCCUUAAAUUCCAUCUAAACUCGACAAAAGGAUGUGGCUAAUACCCCUGCUAAUAUAUGAAGCUGUGAAACUAUUCGAGCACAGGAAACUUUUGGAAGACGUGUAACAUCAACCAGAUCCUGGCUGUCUAGUGUCUGUAGUGUAGCAAGAAACUCCAAGAGAUACAACUGGGGGCAUGACAACGUUCUGCGUGUCAUAGCUGGAGCCUUGCUAGACCAACUCAAGACGUACAAUUCCGCAUUUUCCACGCCCUUCGACAAAUAAUCGUUACGGUUCAAGUUGGAGGAUGGGAGCUAUGAUAAGCUGAAGUUGAGGAAGGAGAUGCCGUUCGAGAGGGCGAAAGACUGGAUGCUGAUCUGGGACGAGGACACGAUACCUGCCCAGUUCUACAACACAUCUACAACACAUCCGAGAGACCUGACAUCGUAGAGAGAAGUGGUUCUGAUUGAACUGACUUGUGGUGACGAGAGUAAUUUCAGUGACCAAGUCGUGCGUAAAUAAGUACGGUACAACAGAGAGCUGGCAUCGACAGGUGCGUUUGGAAAGCUCAGCUCUUUACGGUAGAGAUUGGGUACCAUACUUACCAGCUCUACUCAACUACUUUGGACUGACGAAGAGGACGAAGAAGAAAGCACUGAAUGAGGCUGCUUUGGUCGCUCCUAAAUGUUCCUAUGCCAUUUAGUUAGCCCGUGACAGCAAGAAAUGGUCUACCUUCUACGAACUCGCAAGGUAGAAGCCAUUAACUGCGAAAGUUGGACCCAUAAAACAUGUGAAAGCUGCAACCAAGAUCGCAAGUACUGGUGGAAUACACGUACAGUAAUGGCUUGCUGACUAGAUGUAUAAAUGGAGUUGCUAUCGAACGAUGCAGAAUUCAGGUUGAUCCUCUUCGAGGCUGGACGAGAACAUCUGAGACUGCAGCACUGGGACUAUCUUUAUUUGAAGACAUUGGCUGUACUGCUGAGCUGAAUCAAAUCUAUAAGAAUCAUCUUGGACCAGCAACAGAAACAACUAUAUUCGUAUUACGGUCCUACUUCGAGCAAUUCUACUAAUAAAAAAAUCGUGCAAGAUUUAUCAUCGGAUACAUUCCUCUUCUAAUUCUAAUUAACAGACUGCUUCACCCAAAAAUGCUGAAUGACGUUAGUUCCACUCGAACUUCAAAUUAUAGCCCUCAGUCUCCCAACUUACAUAAGCUUCAGUCUUUAUAGAGUGAUUAUUGUUUGCUAUGAUGCUACCAAAUACCAGUAACAAUUUUGAAGGAUCAAGUACUAAGGCCAGCGACGGUUAAGGUGUUAUGCCACACUUUCUUCGCCCGAAACUUCGCUGUAUUGAUCAUGCACAGCUCCUCAUUUAAUCCUCACGAUUUCUAGAGUAUUCGGCUAAUUCGUCAACGAUUAAAUCGACUAUAUUAAUCUUUAGAUUGUUAAAAGUUUAUCUGUAUCAUUUUAUAUUUUAUUAUCCACACAAGUUCGAACGCCAUUUAAACGUCAAAGCAUAUAUUUAUUUUGGGCCCGGGUAUGCUCAUAGAAAUUUCAAUUUAUUUAGGUAAAACUUGAUGUAUUGCACUAACUUGUGUAAGGUUAAUGUCCGCUAUCUCAUGUGUACAUCUUUUGAUUAAAAAACUGUUAUCAAUGGUCUAUUUCAAAAGUAUCAUGAAUCUAUUACAAGUUCUUUUAGUCGAAUGUGAUUAGCGUCUUGAAAGUGUGCACGAAGUCAAUCCUG